rnacentral:rRNA from 1 species
UACGGGGGGGGCAAGCGUUGUUCGGAAUUACUGGGCGUAAAGGGCUCGUAGGUGGCCAACUAAGUCAGACGUGAAAUCCCUCAGCUUAACUGGGGAACUGCGUCUGAUACUGGAUGGCUUGAGUUUGGGAGAGGGAUGCGGAAUUCCAGGUGUAGCGGUGAAAUGCGUAGAUAUCUGGAGGAACACCGGUGGCGAAGGCAAUCCCCUGGACCUGUACUGACGCUCAUGCACGAAAGCGUGGGGAGCAAACAGG